rnacentral:rRNA from 1 species
UACAGAGGGGGCAAGCGUUGUUCGGAAUUACUGGGCGUAAAGGGCGCGUAGGUGGCCUGUUAAUUCGAACGUGAAAUCCCUGGGCUCAACCCAGGAACUGCGUCCGAUACUGGCAGGCUUGAAUCCGGGAGAGGGAUGCGGAAUUCCAGGUGUAGCGGUGAAAUGCGUAGAUAUCUGGAGGAAUACCGGUGGCGAAGGCGGCAUCCUGGACCGAGAUUGACACUGAUGAGCGAAAGCUAGGGGAGCAAACGGG